AAGUAAGCCGCUCGGAAUAGAGGAUUUACAGCAGUUCCUGUCAUCCAAGGAAGGCUAGCAGUUGUAACUAUUGCUACAUGUCUCUUAUCACCUUCUAGGUUCUGCUUGGUAGAAUCUCCCCAAAAUCCACCAUCAUAACAAUGACCAGUACUCUGAAGAACACUGGCGAUUCUUAAAUCUAAUUCAUCAUUCAUAAUUUCACCAUCAAUCAGUGAGGACCCUCCUCCGGGUAAGGAAUUUAGCAAAAGCUUGCUGUGUCCUUUGCUGCAUAAACUUUCUACAAUCUUCUCUGAUAUAUCUCUUCUUAUUCCAAGUUGAUCCAAAAAUGGGCUCGAUUGUCUAACUAAAUAUGCCAAUAGUUCUGGCACAUCAAGUGGUGGAACUCCCUUUGCAUCUUCUGGUUCCUUGCAAAUUGAUUUCAAGCUUGAUUUUACUUUCCCCAUAAAUUCACUAUUCUUAAUCACUUCAAAAAUUUCCGCUGGAGACGAACUCGAUCCCUUUAGCUCCACUUCCAGCUCCUUUAACCGAGUCUUAAAAGCUUUAAUAGGCUCCCAAUCAAAUUCCCCAAAAUGUCUCUCUUCCUUAAGCCUGUCACACCUCCACUUCCUCCAUAUCUCCCUUUCCCUCUCCUUCUCCUGCUCCUCCUCCUCUUCCACUUCCGCCACAAUUGCAUUCUUAAUCGCUGAUAAAUCAAUCCUAAGCUUCCCCUGCGACGGCCACUUAAACUCCGACGACGAAUACGCCCUACGUAUCUCAGAAAGCUUCGGACGAAGCUUCUUCACAAAAUCAAUCUCCGCCGGUGCCGUAGUGGUAGAAGCCGUAAUUGCUGGAACAGCAAAAGGCGAUAUUGAAGCUGAAUUGAUGAAAUUCUCCAGCUCUCUAUCCGCUAAGUUCUUAAACUUAUUCGCUCGGUUUUUUAUAAGCUGAAGAUCCGCAUCCGCUGAAGAUCGUACCUCUUGCCAUCCCUUCGAUAUAAACGACAACGCUUUCUCCGCCGUCACAACGGAGCUCGAACUCGAACCUACAGACGGCCUCGUUCUCGUCUCCGGCGGCCUGAAAUUGAUCAUUUUUCCGGUGAUAUUCUGGUAGUUUCUAGGGUUUCGAGAGGAAAUUAGAGUGUUUCGUUU
rnacentral:misc_RNA from 1 species